AUGAGGACUUGCAACAUCCUCCUUGUUGUCCUUGCUGCUCUCACCAUUGUUUACCCUGCCACGUCCGCCGGGCAAUAUUGGUCUCCUAUUGAGAAUGUCAAUGAACCACAUGUCCAGGACAUCGGUAGGUGGACAGUGGUGGAGCAUGUCAAGCAGGUGCAUGACGGGCUCAAGUUUAGCAAGGUAACAGGGGGAGGGGAACAAAAUGUGGCCGGUGUCAAAUAUCACCUCGUUGUCGACACAGUUAAUCACGAUGACAAACAUGGAAGAUACGAGGUGGUGUUGAUCAAGGACAACACAAGCAACAUGCGUCGCAUCAUCUCCUUUAGCCCGACAAGCUAA
rnacentral:rRNA from 1 species